ACCAGGUAAGCCAGGGUGUUUCCUAGCAGAUACAAUAAGAGCAGAGGACAGUGCUCUGACCUCAAAUGGAAUGAGUCACUCUCUCAACAGAAAUCAUGAACAGCAGUCACCUCCUGCUCUUUGCUAAUUGAAAAUUAAGCUUAUCUUAUAUCAAUAGGCCACAUUAGAAAGAAGGAAUUGAAGGAAAAGCACAAAUCUGGAAAUGAAUUAUUAAUUUAAAUUGAUCAUUUUCAAAUAAAACCACCAGGAAAUAGUUGACAAAGUUGGAAAGACAACUUGAGAGCCAAGAUGAGGGAAACAAAAAUCCAAAUCACAUUGGGAUAUCAUCUCACGCUUGUGGGAAUAGUUCCUAUCAAAAAGACCAGAAACAACAAGUGUUGACAAGAUGUGAAGAAAAAGGAAACCUGUACACUGUUGGUGGGACUGUUGACUGGUUCAACCCCUAAUGGAAAAGAGUCCUGGUGAUGAUCUUAAUAAUUACAGGAUAUGGAAUUAUAGGAGAGUGAGAGAGGAAUGCAACUGAAUUUCGGAGAACUGAUCAUCCAGAAAAGGUUGCAGUGUUUGAUGAAAGUUUAGACCUCCUAAUUUGAG